CUCUUCGAAAGUCUUCCAUUCUUCAAACUAGAUUAUUUAAAAAUGAAAAAGGAAGAAAGGAAAGCGAGGUCAUCUCAUUGCUCUAUCCGCCAAUCAGGAGGCUGAAUGUCAGUUUUGAACUAAAAGCCGCUCCGCUCCUCUUCUAGAUUUGGAAAACAAGCGAAAUUAAACUAAACCGCUGCACGCCUCUGACGCGACAUCUGGACACGGCGCGGCGCUGGCGCUGCCGGAGCUGUCGGCCCGGCCUGGCGCCGGACUAGUGUCCCUUUUGAUGAGAAGAAUAAGCCUCAUUGUGAUUCAACAGCAGAGAUCAAAGAAAAGACUUCUGUUUUCUGGCCACCAGAUAUAUGUUAUCUGUGCUUAAAGAAUUGAAAAACACACAUCAAAGGAGAAUUCUCUUGGAAAGAGAGGGUUCAAGCAUCACUGUUAGGUGUGCUGGAAUCCUUUCCCGAGUCAGUACUGCUUUCUAGAAGAAAACCGGGGAGAUCUAUUUGGAAUGUAUCUAACUCCAAAGGAACCAUCAGAGGUAACAGUAUCUUACAGACAGCAAGUUGAACAUUGUGGGAUGCAUAAGCUAUUGAGGCCUUUGCAGCUUUCUGCUACAUGGAGGCUACGGCCAGAGUCAACAUUUAUGCUUUGCAGCACACUGGUCAGCUGUUUUUGCAAAUCAGAUUAAAUAAUUUUUAAAUGAGGCUGAGAGCAUGGGAGAUACUAAUGUGUGUUUCCUUGUGAGCUACUGCAUAAGUUAGGAAAUUGAAAUACAGAAAGAUGAAAAGUGAUUUGCCCAAGUAUAUAGAUCAAAACUGUGGCAGA
rnacentral:antisense_RNA from 1 species